rnacentral:rRNA from 1 species
CAAUAGCGUAUAUUUAAGUUGUUGCAGUUAAAAAGCUCGUAGUUGGAUUUCGGAUGGGACUUGCCGGUCCGUCGUUUCGAUGUGCACUGGCCAGUCCUAUCUUGUUGUCGGGGACUAGCUCCUGGGCUUCACUGUCCGGGACUAGGAGCUGACGAGGUUACUUUGAGUAAAUUAGAGUGUUCAAAGCAAGCCUACGCUCUGAAUACAUUAGCAUGGAAUAACACGAUAGGACUCUGGCUUAUCUUGUUGGUCUGUGAGACCAGAGUAAUGAUUAAGAGGGACAGUCGGGGGCAUUCGUAUUUCAUUGUCAGAGGUGAAAUUCUUGGAUUUAUGAAAGACGAACUUCUGCGAAAGCAUUUACCAAGGAUGUUUUCAUUAA